UUUUUUUAUUAUUAUUCCUUUUUUGCCUCAGAAGUUCUAAGAAGAGAAAAUUGCUGUUUUUCGUUAAUCACUGCUCCUAAAGAAUUAAUUCUCUGUAUGUUGACUGCUGCUUAUUUAAUACUACUACUAGGACAGUCCUUCAAAUGUAGUGCCAAAACUCCUACUUCCAAAGAUGUGCAGUUUUUCCUAGAUGUUUUAUUUCAAUACCAAGAGCCCCAAACAAGCAUGGGUGGGUAUGUAUAUAGUUUUUUUUUUUUUCUCUCUUGAAAGGGAAGACUUGCCUUAGGAAGUCAGGUCUAAAAGCUCUGCAAGGAAUCUCAGGUGACUGUUGCAAUUAGGCAUUCGAACUGGUUUCCUUAGCAAGAGACUUUUUGAUUUUUUUUUUUUUUUUUAAUUUUUAUUUUUAUUUUCAUUUGAGUAAUUUAGAAGAUCAGUCUGUGUAAACCUGUAUUUAAAUAUGAAGUAUUCAUGCUUAGGUUAAAUGUUUUGUGGGUUUUUGGAUGGCAUUCCUACUCUGGUCAUUAAGUUUCUUGGUGGUCUGUGAAUUUGCAUUCUACCAAAAAUGGUAAUUAAUGGUCCAUGUGUAUUGUAUGAAGGUUGCUGGGAUAGUCAUCUGGAUUCUAAGUUAUCUACCUCAUUUUUUCCUUUUGUAGUUGUAGUGUCUAUUUUUCUAUUAAUGACCACUGUAAUGAACUGAGAUUCAAGCAGAUGCUUCCAUGCACUAUCUGAAACCAAAACCUGAUGUAUUAGUGGAAGCACCUGAAGACUUACUGGACUGACCUUUCACUAUUCCUCUAAUGUCUGCUGGAACUGUAUGUGUAAUGGGAUCUAAACCAGACUGGAAAGCGAACAUUUGGUAUGGAAGGACUGAACGAUGGAAAGAAGUAGAGUUUGUUGACUGCAGGAAAUCUUCAAGUCCAGUCUCUGUUGUGGAAGGCCCAAAAAUGCAGAUUACCAAAAGUUUGUGUAAUGUUGUUGCACCUGAUUCUUGCUUAUGAUCUCUGUAUGCCGAGUUGUGCCUUUCCUGCUGGACUUGUAAGUAAGAACAUACCAGUACCUGUUUACACUGUAAAAUGGAUAUUGUUACAUAGGCCAUGCGAAAGGCAUCCCAAUUGUCAAGUUUCUGCAUUGUGAAUGUAUGACUUUUAAGAACUCUGUAGUUUUGAGUAUCUACUGAUGCGUUUCUGUUGGACAUUUUGAGAAUAAAUUUUGGGAUGGCUUUUUCACA
rnacentral:lncRNA from 1 species